GACGAACGCUGGCGGCGUGCUUAACACAUGCAAGUCGAACGGAAAGGCCCCCUUGUGGGGUACUCGAGUGGCGAACGGGUGAGUAACACGUGAGUAACCUACCCUUGACUUUGGGAUAACUUCAGGAAACUGGGGCUAAUACCGGAUAGGAGCUCCUGCUGCAUGGUGGGGGUUGGAAAGUUUCGGCGGUUGGGGAUGGACUCGCGGCUUAUCAGCUUGUUGGUGGGGUAGUGGCUCACCAAGGCUUUGACGGGUAGCCGGCCUGAGAGGGUGACCGGCCACAUUGGGACUGAGAUACGGCCCAGACUCCUACGGGAGGCAGCAGUGGGGAAUAUGGCACAAUGGGCGGAAGCCUGAUGCAGCAACGCCGCGUGCGGGAUGACGGCCUUCGGGUUGUAAACCGCUUUCGCCUGUGACGAAGCGUGAGUGACGGUAAUGGGUAAAGAAGCACCGGCUAACUACGU
rnacentral:rRNA from 1 species